GUUUAGUAGUGGGAGAAGGGAGGUGUGUUGGGGGCUACAAAGGCAAGUAGCCUACAGUUACUCCCUGUGAGGUGGGAGUGUGGGGCUGGCAAACCCAGGGAAGUGGGGAGAGCCAGAAGUCUUCUCUGUGGUGUUAAUCAAGACCGGAAAAGAUUCUGCGGAACUUUAGAGGCACUUGACAAAGCUAGGGGGAUGGAGAAUACAAUGACAGAUAAAAUUCAGGGUGGAUACAUGCAAGACUGCAGUUCAACAUCAAGCUGCUGGAACUCUGACCCUCUGCAUGACCGUGAUGUCCAGAGGCAUCGCCGGGAACCUCCAGAUGAGUGGAUCGUGACUGGCCAUUGAGUGAAAUUUGUCUGUAUAUUGGGAGUG